UGAGGAAUAUUGGUCAAUGGACGAGAGUCUGAACCAGCCAAGUAGCGUGCAGGAUGACGGCCCUAUGGGUUGUAAACUGCUUUUGUUUGGGAAUAAUCGACAUUACGUGUAAUGUUUUGCAUGUACCAUUCGAAUAAGGACCGGCUAAUUCCGUGCCAGCAGCCGCGGUAAUACGGAAGGUCCAGGCGUUAUCCGGAUUUAUUGGGUUUAAAGGGAGUGUAGGCGGUUGGUUAAGCGUGUUGUGAAAUGUAGAUGCUCAACAUCUGACUUGCAGCGCGAACUGGCUGACUUAAGUACACACAACGUAGGCGGAAUUCAUGGUGUAGCGGUGAAAUGCUUAGAUAUCAUGAAGAACUCCGAUUGCGAAGGCAGCUUACGGGAGUGUUACUAACGAUUAAGCUCGAAGGUGCGGGUAUCGAACAGG
rnacentral:rRNA from 1 species